GAACGUUGCGUCAGCAACGGCCCGCGGGGCGAGCCACGUAGUGGCGAGUAAUCCUCUAUCACCGACCA
rnacentral:sRNA from 1 species